AUAAAAUCUAUAACUAAAUGCAUAAUUUUUUCGAUUUAUGAAAUAGACCAAGCAGAAGUCGAAGAAUCCGUACCCUUGGGGCCACAUUGUAAUUGCAAUAAUGACAACAGAGCUGAUUCAGUGCCAUUGAAUGCUGAAGAUGGUGGAAACAACUCUUCAGUUACUGUAGAUUCAGUACCAUUGAAUGUCGGUACCGACAAACUUGAAUCAGUUCCACUUUAAGCAUAUCCAAAUAUUAAAAGAAGCAUAUAUAAAAUAACAUUACAUUAAUUUCAGUUAAAUUUUAAUUUAAUUGUAUUUUCAAUAUUGUUAAUUUUAUUUUCAAAUAUAACUUUACAUAAUAGUCUA